GGAUUCCCCUAGUAACGGCGAGUGAAGCGGGAAGAGCUCAAAUUUUAAAUCUGGCGUUCUCCGGGCGUCCGAGUUGUAAUCUAGAGAAGUGUUUUCCGUGUUGGACCCACCAUAAGUUACCUCGAACGGUACAUCAUAGAGGGUGAGAAUCCCGUGUGUUGGUGGGAGCCCAGUGCUCUGCGAUGCGCUCUCGACGAGUCGAGUUGUUUGGGAAUGCAGCUCAAAAUGGGAGGUAAAUUCCUUCUAAAGCUAAAUACAUUGGGAUGACCGAUAGCGAACAAGUACCGUGAGGGAAAGAUGAAAAGCACUUUGGAAAGAGAGUUAAACAGUACGUGAAAUUGUUGGUAGGGAAACGCUUGAAGUCAGUCACGUCUUCUUGGACUCAACCUUGCUUCUGCUUGGUGCAUUUCCUAGUUGACGGGCCAGCGUCCAUUUCACUCGUUGGAAAAGAGCGGUUUGAAUGUGGCAGUUUCGGCUGUGUUAUAGCUUACCGUUGUAUGCAACGUCUGGGAUGGAUCUUACAGCACGCUU
rnacentral:rRNA from 1 species